rnacentral:lncRNA from 1 species
GCUGGAAAGGAGAUGGAUUUGGCAGUAGGAUCUGGAAAGUUUGGCGCGGUGGCAAUCUGCGAGAUGUAGGAUCUGGCUAAGUACGGGGCCAGUUUCCCUCCAGUCCUAUAAGGCUCUCUCUCGGAGCUUGGAAGUUUUCAUGCUCCAGGCAGCUUUUGACUGGUUGUGGUGGCAUCAUAAAUGAGUUUCCAUAGUAAGUUGUAUGCGGAAAAAGGAAAUUAAAUUCCGAGAGGGUGUUUUGUUGUGACUGAUGCCAGAAUUUCUCUGAGAAUUUUAUUAAGAUUCAGUCAGUCUAUAAAAGUACUUUUUAGUUCUCUGAAGAUAUUAAUUAAAAAAUGGUUAAAAAAAAAAAAAAGCCAGAAGUGUCUCCUUUGUGAGCUUUUGAAAUGUAAUCUUCCUAAAUCUUUGGGGGAAAAAAAUGAAGUCUAAAAAAAAACCACAGAGCUGUAUGUUUUAAGAGCAGUUCCUUCAAAGUAAUGUUUUCCUUCUCUUCCUGUCCUUUCUCCUCCUCUCACAUUAUUCCUAGUUUUUACGUUUAUGACCUUUUUUUUUUUUUUGCUUUUUAGGGCCGCACGCGUGGCAUGUGGAGGUUCCCAGCCUAGGGGUCUCAUCAGAGCUGCAGCUGCCCGUCUACACCACAGCCACGCCAGACCUACACUGCAGCUCAUGGCAAAGCUGGAUCCUUAACCCACUGAGCGAGCCAGUGAUCAAACCUGCAACCUCCUGGUUCCUAAUUGGAUUCAUUUCUGCUGCGCCACAACGGGAACUCCAAUUUUUUUUUUUUUUUGAUGUUGAAUGUGCCUUCUUUUCUCCUGAGUUUACUCAUCUUCUUUCAUCAAGAAGGGGGAGCACGGUGAGGUAGUGAAGAGCACGGGGUCCGGAGCCAGGCUGGGGACAGCAAGGGUCAUGGUGGUUCUUGGAGAGCCGGGCUCUCCUCUGCUUGGAUUCACCACCCCCUACUCCAGAGGCUCUUGAGGGCAAUUAUUAUUCUGUCACACCGAUGAGGGAACGGGCACAGAAGUGCCUGUGUCCACACAGCCAGUGAGGGGGUGGCCUUGGUGGCAGCUGUGAUCCCUGUGACUCCACCGCAGGGCUAGGCAGAGGUCCUGCUCCCCUGCCAGGGUGGGCUCCGUCCUAUAGGCAGGGGCUUCGUUAAGUGAGAGGGUCAGGACUGUGGUUUUGAAAGGUGGCCUCAUGGGCAGUGUGCAGUAUGACAUGAGCAGCACGGAAAUGGGCAUGAGACAGGGCGGGAGCUUGAACUGAAGACGGCGGCAGUGGUGACAGAGCAAAGGGGACAGGUUGGCGUGGGUGCUGCUCAGUCGUCUGGAUUGGGGCCCAGAGAGGGAGGAGGUGAGUCUGGGAGCGCUUUCCUCUCCUCAGCCUUCCCUACUGCUGGUUUUCAUCCCCGCAGGCUGGGUGGGUAUUGGAGAUACUCACUCUGUGCAGACUGAAAGCAGUCUCUUUAGGAAUCAAGGUCACCUCCUUUGUGCCCUGUGACAGCCAGAGAAAGGUGCCUGAGCAAAACCCCAAUGCGUCUUCCCCGGUCUUUGCCCACCUGCUCUGGCCUUAUCGUUUGCCCCUUUCCUGGAGCAUCUCAGGAUGGAAUUUAGGUUCUCAGACCCCAGUUAGGGAAAUACCGGUUUGAACAUUCAAACUUAAACUGAAAGUAUUGAAAGGAAAAAGCCCCUAAAGAAGGAAGCUUCUCUGGGGUGUAGGGGGUGCCCCACCGUUCCCCAGUGGACCCCCCCAGGGGCUGUGGUCCUCAGUUCUGGCUGUUCCCCAAGGGCUGAGCUGCCUCUAGGCAGGGGCUGGGGUGACUUGUGGUCACCAGGCAUGACGGGCUGGUGGGGGAAGGGGAGGUGGUGAACGUGGGCGAGUUCUCAGUGGUGGCCUGCCUGGCCAGGAGGUGAGACCACCCUCCCCUGAAGGGUGCAGCUUCCGUGGAGAGCCAGGCUCUACUCAGGAGCACCAGAGUCAGAGCAAGGGGAUGUGGUUGGUCCCUGGUUGCUAGUAUGCACGCAUCCCCAUCAUAGGCUGCGCUCAUGCCAUGUCAGGAAUGUGCUGGUCCUGUGCCCUCUCCCCUGGUCAGUGCCAGAGUCCCUAAUAAACUUGCCCAGGCCUCGGUCUUCCAGACCGCAUAGUGCCCAGAUUCGUCAGAGAGUUUGUUCUUGCUGGGCUCCAGCCAGUUGGUCGGGUCCAGCUCUGCUUGGGCCGUGACCUCCUUGCGAGGAGGCCAAGAGUCACUUUAUCGGCCUGCCCGCUUCCCGCAUCCACAGGCACAGCCAACUCUGCAGUGAGUCGGUGUACAUGACUCUGCUCCCCCACUGUUUGGUGGUCACCCCUUUCCCUCCAAGAUGUGACUUCCUUUCCGUGUCCCAAGGGUGGCCCCCAGCCAGGGACCGUUCAAGUGCCCAUUGAGUUUGGCGCCUAACACGGUGCCCAAUUCAGUGAGAGGGGAGCGUGUUUUGCCUGGGGGUGUUCACUGUCAGCCUCCGUCCUGAACAUCAGGUCCUAAGCAGAGCCCCUCUUUUCCUGCUUUGCUCCAUGUUUAGCUGCAUGUGUGUGUUUAUUUUAAUUAUUACUGGG